GGGAAACAGCAUUUCUUCUCAAAGCUUCAGAACAGAGUUUUGGCAUUUGGGUUGUGGCUUUUUUACUUUACUUGCUUGCCUGCUUGCUCUCAAUGAAGCAGCUACAUCAAAACAAGCAUGGAAAAAUAAGAAGCCACACAUGGAUAACGCCUGAACUCUGCUCUUUGCCCACAGGAAGGGAUGUCCAUAUAGCAGGCGGCCCAAGGCAGCGCACAAGGGAAAGCAUCAGCUGGGCUGACACCAGUGGUGCUGCUCGGCUUUGACCCUGCCUGAGGACAGUCCACAUCCACCUCCAGAUCAGCCAAGUUUCCCAGGCUGGAGAAGUGGGUCACUGUGCAUAGCAUACAGGGCCGUAGCAGAGGUGUCCUUCCCUCCCUGUGGGCAGAGAGCUUUCCUGCUGCCACGUGAAGCUGCCUUUCCACCUCCUGGACCGUGUCUGGCUUCUGCAGGCGGAAUGCUGGGACCCAGUCCAGAAAAGCAGGAAAGCAGCUCGGUGCACGCAGACAGCUUUACUCAUCUCAUGGAACAGCAGAACCGAUUCAGGUUCUUUCAUCCAGUGCACCCGGCCUCUGCAGCCCCCCAGCAGCAGCACCAAAGAGGGAAUGCAUCCUCAGUUCAAUCCCCUGCUCCCUCACACGCUGUCAGAAGCAUGUAACCACAACAACCGGCUUCAUCCUGGCUUUCUAGGGAGAGCAGAGAUUCGCAUCCCUUUCAGUGGGACCACUGAUGCUCUCAGGCUAACAGCAUUUUUAGUUCUGUACUCUUAAAAAAUGAAAUCCAAGCUGAUUGUAAUGGCUUUAUUUCCGCUGAAGAAUAUGGUUUACAGUAUGGAUAUAAAGACUGUCUUCACCUGAACGACAACUGGAAAGGUUCAUAUGCUUCAGUAAAGCACUGCUGGUUUGUUACAGACAGUAGUAUGCAUAAGAAUAAAUGUACUUUGCUAUUCCAAUUACAUGAUCAGCACUCAUGAAUGGGAGCCUGAGCUUUAUCUCCACUGACCCUGAGAAGCCCCUGGAGAUUUAUGAUGAAAUGAAGCAUAUGUUUUCUGGUGAUUUCUGGAAAAUGAAGAAACAACAACCACUCGUUCUGAUCUUCUCGGGAAACAAAGUGAUAUAUCAUCAGAGCUUCCAUAUUGCCGCAGGGGAAUUUGGAGGGUCCCUACUUUUACUCCCUCAGCACACGCGGAUUUGGCAAUGCUAUGCAGAUGAACAGCAAUUCUGGCUCUUGCUGAUAAAUCAGACCACUUUAAUAGGCUCAGGAAAAUGAUGUGGAAUGUAAAGUGUUCUGCCCUUGUAACCAGCACGGUGGAGCCGCAGGACAUGUUGGAAAUGACACAAUGAACCACUGUGUGCUCUUAUUUGCAGAGUACCUGGACAUAAUGAUGUGGGAAGGAGUGCAGAAGCUUUGCAUUUCCUGGAAACAUUCUCAUCCGAGGGCAGCUGUCAGUUCUUUAGCAAAAGAGGUGGCUGAAGGACAGAGGGAGAAACCUAUGAGGAACAAAAGCAUCCAAGGAGCAGCCAGCAUGAUGGACUACGGUAAUUAGGAAGCUCUAAGACCUGUCUAACAUUUUAGGAGAACAAACUGAACUCUGGGCAGUGCCAGGCACAGGGUGUGUGAAACAGGCAUGAAGCCAUCCACGCCCAACAUUCCACAGCCACCCCUCCAGCCUCUGCCCAGCAAGCUGCACAACAGCCCCAGCACCAACUGGUAAACCAGAAGGUUUGAGAAGGGUCUGUCACUGCAGUGCUGUGCAAACGGAUGGAUACAAAUUCUCUUCACUUGUGCUCUUUUAAGCACAUGUGCAUUGCAGGUCUCUUUUGACAUCUCAGGAUAAACGGAUAUACUCUAAAUAAGCGCUAAUUUUAAGUCUUGAUUACUUUACUUUCUUGAGCUACAAGCUUGUUGAUGGUGUUUUCAGAGCUAUUCAGGAACUCCCUUUUCUUCCUUCUCCAUCCUCACGCAGCACAAUUCUCCAUUUUCUUUUUGAGUCACUCCCUCUUGCUCCUUUCUUCGAUUAUUUUAUUCUCCAAGACUUUGGCAAAAGUUAUCAUUCCUGAGAGAGCACCCAUGGUGCAGGAACUAUUGGAUUGCAUUAGAGAGAUGGGCUGAGAUUAAUGUAAACCACAGAGAGUGGAUUAGGAGAACAAUGAAAAAACUCUAAUGAGGUUUGCACAGCCUCGUUCACUUGAGGAGCAAAUUUCUUGACACUUCCCCUUGGAGUUCAAGAUGACACUUUAAUCUCACUAUUAAAAACAUGACCUAAGGAUCGACCAGGGUGGAGCAUGGGAAACAAUGUCCUUUUAAUUGUCUACUCUGGAGUAACAAUCUACUUAUGAUAUAACAGCCCUUGCCGUCUGGCUCCAGGCGAGUCAUACUCCCUUUGAGAGGGUUCUGAGAAAUGUUACUUUCAGUAGGUGGUACAUGACCAAAUUCCAGCUCUUAUCUUGGUUUCAGCAUGUGUGCAGUGAGAGGGACAGGCUUUUCUCAGAUCUCACCAGCCAAAUUACUUCUCAGGGCAUACCCAGGGCUUUCUCAGGGUUGUGUCAGUCUUCCAGCAGAAUGUUAAUAGUGCCCCUUCUAACAGUGUAGAUAGAGUUUGAGGCUGCUUGUGAUCUCCCAGAAAACUCACAGUGUUCCUCAUUUAUCUGUUCUGCAUUUUCUUUACCCAGAUUGUUCUAUCUCACUCUGCGGAGGAAUCACUUUCAGUUUCAUCAGCUGUCUGAUUGUUCUGUAUAGGCUCUGUUUCUGCCAUCUGAAAGAACCCAGAGCACAACAUCACUAGGUAGGAUGUGCUUCAGUGCUCAGCCAGGCCCAGGGGGCCUCUCAGCAGGACGUGCCUGGGACACAGGUAACAAAUGGAUGUUCUCUGUCCUCUGGAGGAAACGUGUCUACACCAGAGGCCACGCUUUCAAGCUGUUGGAGACACACAGCUGUCAAUUUCUCCCUCAACAACCACCACAAACACAAUUAUGGCUGACUGAACUUAGGAUUUUUAAAAUCCCUAUUGUUAGUAAAACUAAAGAUUGAUGUGAAUGGGGGUUGGCAUUACCUUCUACAUGCCAAAGACAAAGGAUUAUCACGCAUGAUUGACUCUUUUGUGACUUCCUGAAAAAAAAAAAAAAACUUUCUUACACUUAGCAAAUGUCAAGACUAGGAAAGUUAGUCUCAGGUUUGUCACUAAUGAAAUGGCCUCAGCUCAGUGCCCUUGCUGAGUUUUUGAAGCUUUGUUCCUCGAGUCAAGUAAAUGAUGCACCAGGAAGGUGUAGAUGCGUGUGAUGUGCAUCAGGGCAGGGCGGUGGUUGGAUGCACGUGAAUGACAGGCUAAGCACAGCUGCAUGGGUUUCCAGCCGCUUGGGCUGCCUAUAG
ensembl:lncRNA